rnacentral:rRNA from 1 species
AUACGUAGGGGGCGAGCGUUGUCCGGAAUGACUGGGCGUAAAGGGCGCGUAGGCGGCCAAUUAAGUCUGGAGUGAAAGUCCCGCUUUCAAGGUGGGAAGUGCUUUGGAAACUGGUUGGCUAGAGUGUGGGAGAGGAUAGUGGAAUUCCCGGUGUAGCGGUGAAAUGCGUAGAGAUCGGGAGGAACACCAGUGGCGAAGGCGGCUAUCUGGACCAAGACUGACGCUGAUGCGCGAAAGCGUGGGUAGC